GCCUCGCUGGCUCAGUCGGUGGGGCGUGCGACUCUUGAUCUCAGAGUUGUGAGUUCGAGCCCCACGUUGGGUG
rnacentral:tRNA from 1 species